GUACCCGCUUGGGCGGUACGUAUACUAAAAUUGGAACGAUACAGAGAAGAUUAGCAUGGCCCCUUAAAAAAAAAAAAUUCGGUCAGAGGGUUAGUUGCCCUCUGU